AUUGAACGCUGGCGGCAUGCUUUACACAUGCAAGUCGAACGGCAACGAGGAGAAGCUUGCUUCUCUGUCGGCGAGUGGCGAACGGGUGAGUAUAGCAGCGGAACGUGCCAAGUAGUGGGGGAUAACCAAACGAAAGUUUGGCUAAUACCGCGUAAGCUCCAAGGAGGAAAGUAGGGGACCUAAAUAAGGCCUUACGCUAUUUGAUCGGCCGAUGUCGGAUUAGCUAGUUGGUGGGGUAAGGGCUCACCAAGGCAAUGAUCCGUAGCGGGUCUGAGAGGACGAUCCGCCACACUGGGACUGAGACACGGCCCAGACUCCUACGGGAGGCAGCAGUGGGGAAUUUUGGACAAUGGGGGAAACCCUGAUCCAGCCAUGCCGCGUGUAUGAAGAAGGCCUUAGGGUUGUAAAGUACUUUUGUUAGGGAAGAAAAGAUAGUUUUUAAUAAAAAUUAGUGAUGACGGUACCUAAAGAAUAAGCACCGGCUAACUACGUG
rnacentral:rRNA from 1 species